UGUAUCUUUGUAUACCAUUUCCCUUUUUC
rnacentral:sRNA from 1 species